GUUCUUGCCAAGUGGAAUUUAAAUGACCUCUUAUCAAGAUGGAUAAACCCAAGUUUCCCAGUGCUGGAAUAUAGAAAAUGGAUGGACAACUGGAUCUACCAUGAAAGACUUCAGAGUCCAGGAAGAGAGACUGACUGGGCAAUAUGUUAUUCAGAAUUAGAGAAGAAGAUGUGAUGAUGGAAGAAGAGGUCAGAGAGGGAGAUUUGAAGAUGCUGCAGUUCUGGCCUUCAAGAUAGAGUCAGGGGCUAUCUUCAAGGUGAGUCAAGGAAUGGGGUGGCUUCUAGAAGCUGGAAAAGGCAAGGGAGCACAUUCUCUCUAGAGCCUCCAGAAGGAAUGCAGCCCCUCUUAUACCUUGACUUUGGCCUUAAUAGGCCUAGUUUGGGCUUUGGUUCCCAGAACUAUAAUA